rnacentral:sRNA from 1 species
CUGAAAUCAUACUUAGCGCAAAGAGUUCGGUUC